rnacentral:rRNA from 1 species
GACGAACGCUGGCGGCGCGCCUAACACAUGCAAGUCGAACGAGCGAGAGAGAGCUUGCUUUCUCGAGCGAGUGGCGAACGGGUGAGUAACGCGUGAGGAACCUGCCUCAAAGAGGGGGACAACAGUUGGAAACGACUGCUAAUACCGCAUAAGCCCACGGCUCGGCAUCGAGCAGAGGGAAAAGGAGCAAUCCGCUUUGAGAUGGCCUCGCGUCCGAUUAGCUAGUUGGUGAGGUAAUGGCCCACCAAGGCGACGAUCGGUAGCCGGACUGAGAGGUUGAACGGCCACAUUGGGACUGAGACACGGCCCAGACUCCUACGGGAGGCAGCAGUGGGGAAUAUUGCACAAUGGGCGCAAGCCUGAUGCAGCAACGCCGCGUGGAGGAAGACGGUUUUCGGAUUGUAAACUCCUGUUCUUAGUGAAGAUAAUGACGGUACUCAACAAGGAAGUGACGGCUAACUACGUG